CACAGCGUGGGGAAGUGGUCAUCCCAUCUGGUUCAUACCCAGAAGAUCGUCGGUUCGAAUCCGGCCGCUGCAACCA
rnacentral:tRNA from 1 species